ACUCCAUCUCACGGUGUCAUGCAAAUGGCGACCAUUGUUGUGCAUUUCAAUUUAGAAUAUUUACCUAAAUAUGCUGAGUUUGUUGGAGUGGGAUUGGACUUAAGAACUCUUCCGCUUGAUCCUAAACCAAAGACGUGUACUUCACUGUGAUCGGACUCUGUUGCCUUGACUGCAAGAUACUUGAUGAAUCCCUACCUGCUGUAAGCAUCCUGGCUUCAUGGAAACCGGUUCAUCUUCUAAGAUGAAGAAUUUUCACGAUUGUGGAAUCCUCGAGUCGUCAAACAUUGCAUGAAGCUCAGAGUUGUGUAUAUCUCUCUUGCUGCAAUGUCUCUUGCAGAUGGAUUGGAUUACCACUCCUGUAGAUGCGAUGUCUAUAGCUUCAUGAGCAGGGGGUGUUGGUGUGCCAACCCAUCAGGAAGAUCAGAAUUAUCUUCUUCUCCCUUAAGGAAAUGUGGCCAUGAAGUACAGAGGUACGUGGGCGGAGACAUUCCGAUUUCAUGACAGUGUCUUCUUGUUUCGGGAAUAUUGUCGGACUUCAUUGCUAGAAACUACCGGAUGCUACUCACUUCGUCAGGUUACUUUGCUUAUUUCCCAUAAUGAAAAUGAAAAAGGUAAACUAGCCUAUAAUUCUCUUGGCCAAAAUAUCCGACGUGGCAUGACUUUGGUCCAGAUUGCCGAAAUGUUAGAUUUUGCUGCCUAUAUAGGCUCUACGAAUUUUGUUUGUUUGAUCAGAACUGCCAGUGAAGUAAAAGCAAGUGUGGACCUGUGGUUUUAUAUGAUAAUACACUAAAAUUAUCAUCGUCGCCAUUUUGAUUUUUUACUGUGAACCACUUUAAACGCUUGCGUACGGCGAUCAUACGUAUCCCGUAGGUAAUGAUAACUGGAUUAAUAUGAAACUCACCAGACCGACCUGAAUUCUCCACCUUUAAGUAUUGACAACAUUCAAACCACUGCGCUGGAUAGCUUAAUUCGAUGUGCAAUCACGAAUGUUAUGAAUUUCAUUUUGGGGUCAAUGGAGUUGGUGCUGGUUGCCGUUACUGGCCUUUUGCAACGUCCAGACAGGAUGUCCUUCUCGCUUGAAGGUCACGAGAAACAUUCCGUAAAACUGGCAUGCGGUGGUGUAGAGGUUGGGUGAGAAUGACACGUGUUUCAUCACUAUCAAAGCAGGUACAAUAGCCGCAAAGGUAAGCUAUUUGGUAUUCAUUUUGAUAUUGGUUUUUGUAGACCCAUCCCCAGCAACGUCACCUACAGAAGGAAAGGCCAGUUUGCAUUUCAAUCGAAGGUCAUGGAGAUCAUUAGUAAGUAAAACGUGUCAUGCAGUGUUGUAGAGGUUGGGUGAGAACGGAACGUUUUUGCAUCAUUAUCAAGAAAGUAAAAUAACCGCAAGGCUUAAGAGGAGGGGUGAGAAAAAGUCGUAUAAAAGGCGAGAGAAAACUAGAAAGGGGAUCAGUCGAGCGAGUAUCUCCGACACGGUAAGAGCUGCAUGCACUAUUUGCCAUCAGCUGCAUUCUUCAUCGUAUUAUCAGUUCUCAAUCAUGGGUAAAUUUUCUGUUGUUCCAUGGAGUUAUGUAUCAAUUUCAAUGUUUUUUUCUCUUUGUUAAUAUGCUAGUUAAUUUUGCAUAUUAUAUUUAAAAUAUUUAUUGUCUAGUCGUAGGUAAGGGCAAAGAAAAGGCGAAAGAUAUCAGUCGAGUGAGCAUCUCCGAUAUACAAGAGCUACAGUGCACCAUGUGUCACCAACUGCAUUCUUCGUCGCGCUACCAGUUUCAAUCAUGGUGAACUGUGCUGUUAUUGGGUGUUGUAUCGUUGAUAGCUGUGUCGACCACUGGUGUACCGAUGACUCUUGGGUGUGGCGGAUACCAAAGCACUACACUACCGCCUUACUGCAUCACAACAUACAACACAACCAGUUGCUACUCCAAUGCCCCCAAGUAUUACACCACCAAGGAACCAGAGUGUUACACAACUACAAAUGCCGCGCCAGCUUAUUACACUGAGGCUCCCCAACACAACACCACCAAGGCAUUGGAGUACUACACCACUACAUAUCAUGGUCGUAUGAAAGGAGAGAAAAGGUGAAAGAAUUCAGCAGCCGAGUGAGCAUCUCCGUUACGGCAAUAGGGACUGCCGUGCACUAUUUGUCAAUAACUUCAUUCUUCGUCGCAUUACAAGUUUUAAAUAAAGUAAACUAUGGCGUCGUGCUGCUGUUGGGUGUUGUAUCGUUGAUGGUUGGUUCAGCCAUGGUGUACCGACAUCUCCUGGUUAUGGUGGGUACCAACAACAACAUACGUAACAACCGCUUACUACAUUGAGGCCUGCAAGUGCCACACUACCGAGGAUCAACUUGUUACCUCAUCGAAGCGCCCAAUACUGCACUACAACCUACGUCGCCCCAGCUUAAACGACGAAGGGAGCGGAGUACUACACCACGAAGGGAGCGGAGUACUACACCACGAAGGGAGCGGAGUACUACACCACGAAGGGAGCGGAGUACUACACCACGAAGGGAGCUGAGCACUACACCACGAAGGGAGCUGAGCACUACACCACGAAGGGAGCUGAGCACUACACCACGAAGGGAGCUGAGCACUACACCACGAAGGGAGCGGAGUAUUACACCACGAAGGGAGCGGAGUAUUACACCACGAAGGGAGCGGAGUACUACACCACGAAGGGAGCGGAGUACUACACCACGAAGGGAGCGGAGUACUACACCACGAAGGGAGCGGAGUACUACACCACGAAGGGAGCGGAGUACUACACCACGAAGGGAGCGGAGUACUACACCACGAAGGGAGCGGAGUACUACACCACGAAGGGAGCGGAGUACUACACCACGAAGGGAGCGGAGUACUACACCACGAAGGGAGCGGAGUACUACACCACGAAGGGAGCGGAGUACUACACCACGAAGGGAGCGGAGUACUACACUAGGCUCCCGUUUACUACACUACAACCUACGCUGCUCCAAAGUACUACUACAGUGAUGAUUCAAAGCACUAAACCACCAAGGCAUCAGAGUAUUACACCACUACUUACGCUAUUACCAUUUACUACACCGAAGCUCCGAACGCACCACUCUUCCCCGAGUUACUACACCACUAAGGCAGCCGAAUAUUACACCACAAACUACGAUCCCGCAAUUUUCUACAAGGAAAUUUCUAAAUACUAGAGCCGAAAUGUCUUGAAGUUAUUUAUAUUUGUCGAUUAUUUUCGUGGUCAUUGGUCACUGGGAAUUAAUAAUUGAUCUUAAAUGGGGAAAUAAAAGUUUUAAUACGGGUAA